AGGCUUCCGGUCUGUUUGGUGCCCUGGUCGCGUGUCUUCCGAACUCUGCUGCUUCGCCCCGGCAAGAGCACUUCCUUCCGCGGCUGCUAAAACUGGUGCGCGGGUUCCCAACUUCGCAGAAGAGCUUCAUCGGCCCCCCGCUAGAGACCUCAGACCGCAGCCAUCGACGCCUCGCCUCGGGGAUCUGUCCCCACCCUCGGGGCCAGCUCACCAUGAGUCAGGCCCUGUGCUAGGUGCUGGGAUGAAGCAGUGACUGACACAGGCCUGGACCUGUCCUUGGGAAGAGUGCGUCUGUGACACAGAUACUGUGCCAUGUGGCAAAGUAAGCGCGUGGGACAGCAGAGCCUUGUUUGCCAUUAAAGUAAUAUCACAAGUCUGUUAAGGUUGGAGAAUCAAGUGAACAUGCUGAAAAGUUAUGGGGAAUGUAGUCUCAUAGCUGGGGGAGCUGGGGGCCUUGUCAAUUGGUUCCCCCAGUCUGGAGAGCAAUCUGAGAACUUGAAUGGAGACAUCAGCUCUUUGUGGGUCUCAAGUCUACUGGCUUUCAAUCAGCUCUUCUGCUUGACAGCUGCAGGUCUUGGGACUGCCCAGCCCCCAUAACCCUGUGAGUGCAUUCCUGAUAAUAACCCUCUUUCUCUUGUCCUCCCCCACCCCACAUCAUUGGUUCUGUUUCUCUGGAGAACCAUAAUACAUCAUUUACUAAUCAGGAAAUAGAUUCAGAGACAUUAAUAACUCAUCCAACCUCACAGUUAACUGUAGAGUUGGGCUUGAAAUUCCAAGGUCGAUUUUCUUAGCCAAUACACCAUGCUACAUAUAUGUAUGUAAAAAUAAAAACGCUUGUGAACUGAAAA
rnacentral:lncRNA from 1 species